UUUCCGCUUACUGCUCCCGGUGUGAUCCCUGUCGGCCCGAACAGUCUGAAAGCGGUCGAUAGAAACAUUAUGGUCCGGGAUAUCCUGUUGUAGCCAUGUGUAGCCCAGGGUAAAAAUCCAUCCAUCCAAAAAUAAUCCAAUCCAGUUUCCAGUCCAGGUUUUCCAUUCCCUCCCUUCCAACCCUCUGUAUUUAAUGUAGUGCCAUUCCAUGUAGUUGCCAGUCCAUGUUUUCCACCCUUUCUUUCCCUUGCCAUAAGACACACCCCCUUUGUUUCAAUUAGCCAAUCACAGCCCUCUGCCUCAGUAUAAAAGCUGUCCUGACUUCUCUCACCUCAGUUGUGUGGGAGAGAAGACAGAGGACAAGAGCUGUAGGGCAGUACCUCCAUUCAAGCAAAUAUUGGUUUUCAUUUAUUCUCUGUUAAGCAUCUAAACAUUUCUGUAGAAACCAGAAUCAUCCAGUGAUUGGGCGUUGUCGUGUGUGCUGGGCAAAACGUUUCUUACUGAACUGGCCAGGUGCCCAUUCAGGGUAUAUUCGAUGGCGAGCUAGGCUCUGGAGCACACAACGUUCCUGUUAUCCAUCCAACACUCUUCGGUCUGGUAGGAGGCUGUACAGCCUGCCCUUUUACUCUCCCACCUCCUCGAGCUACGCAACCGCUGCAAUAUUCAACCCCCCCCGGACAAUCGCGCUAACUGACAUUUCAAAUCACUCAAUAACAAACAUAUGGACUCAAACGCGGUGCGCAGCCUCGGUGUUCUUCAUCCUUAGUUGGGAGAACAGACAUUGAGUUUUGUUGUUUCCUUCCUGCCUCAAAGAACAAUAUCUUGGACAUUUGAUUUAAUUUAAAAUUGAUUUGAAGUUGAUUUUUGAUAUAUUUCUGCUGCAGUGGUUUAUGUAUAUAUUGGGUUCUGUUUAUAUUCACUUUUUGUACAAUACACUUUUCCUUAAUUCAACUAUUCUGUCAAUUAUUAUUUACUGACCCCUUCUCUGAGAAACACAUCAAACUACACUCAAGGAACUCCGUCUGACUCCGGGCUAACGCCGUUAGCUCAUCCAUUUUAUUCGCCAGCGAUCUCCAGAUCUCAGUGGGGACAUCGGUUGUCCUGGGCGCCAUGUCGCUCGGCUUCAGUGCGAUCAGCUGUUCCCUGGUGUAAACAAUGCAGCCAAACCGCUGCUCUGCAGCGGUGCCCUGACUGAGUAGCAGAAGUUCCACGGCAAAAAAUAGUACUAAAACACUUUCUACUCUGAUAUUCGUAAAGAGCGUAGUUUAAAUUAUACUUACACACAAGCUACCCAAAUUUGGAAGAAAAAGGAACGCUAAAAGUUGGAAAAAAUAAGACUACGAACAGGCAGCAUGAACGUUGGAGCAUGCGCACUCAUUUGCGUAUGGGUAGUGACGGCUAUUUUUAUACUGCCUAGCAAUGCAUCUUUAUCUGUGUACCCUCAAAACAUGGAAUUACAGAACAAAGCUUGCUAAGCCUAUCAACCUCAAGGAACCAUAGGAGGUGGGAUUGAUUGAGAUACAGUACCCACACAGUUGGUAUACUAUUGCAAAAUCUAAUGUGUGUGUGUGUGUGUAUAUCUGAUUUAAAAACAAAGGAUGGAAGUUAUUUCUUUAUCACAGGGUACCAAAAAUUCUGUCUGAAUUUCAGUUUGAAUUAAUUUUAUUUAUAACACCAAUUCAUAACAGAAGUUAUUGCACUUUUCCUAACAAGACAAGAAGAAAAAUUAAAGGAUCCUUGUUGGCAUUUUUUUUUUUUUUUGCCAGUGUUUGUAUGCUAGAAAAGCCUAGAAAAGUAAACAUUACAGUAGACAUCAGGGAUUCUACACACCCUUUGCACCCGACUUCUGGUCAGCUAAGACACAACUCAGUACUACUAUAGCUAUCAUUAUGUUUCUCAAGUGAGAAGGUGUUCUAAGUACAAUGACAAUAUUAGUGAAAAUAGUACAGGCCUCCAUGUAAUCCAUGUCAAAUUAUUAUUCAGUAAUGUAAAUGUAUAGAUAGUUGUAGGUAUAUUUAUAUUUGUCUCACUAUACAGGUUAAUUUUGAUUGUUUUAAUGUGUUAAUUUCAUAUAAGCUGCUGGAAUAUUCAUGGUCUCCACUUCUCAACCUUUGAACUGAAGAGUGAAAACCCUGAAUUCAUUAAAUCUAUCAAAGAUGUUGAUGUAAUUGUGUUAACAGAAACAUGGUGUCAAAAUGAUCUGCUCACUCACUGUCACUGUAAUGGUGCCCUCUAUAAAAUUAAACAUAUGCAAGGGCAGAACAUCGGGGGGAUCUUGGUGUGGUAUAAAUGAGAUCUUUGCCGUCAGAUCUCACCAGUUAAACGGUAAAUUACAAAUUUGGUUAAAAUUAGAUCAAAGCCUGGGUAUAAUUGAUAGAUCUAUAUCUCUGUGCUAUUUAUAUACCCCCAGUAUAUUCUCCUUAUUUUGAAGAAGGCAUUUUUGAAACUCUCCUCUCAGAAAUCACCCAUUUCCAGGCCCAGGGAAAUGUGUUUCUAACUGGAAAUGUGAAUGGACGAACAGGAAUCGAACCUGAUGUCAUCAACCCACAGGGCAACAACCAUAUGUUUGGUCAGUCUCCCCUGUUUAUCAUACCAACCAUCACCCCUUGGAACAACAUUGACUCUGGGGGAAAAAAAAAAAACAAAGUGGCAGGGAGGUAGUGCCUUUAGGGAGCUUCACAUACACUUCAGCUCUUUGGUCUAGUGUAGUAGACUAUACAAUCACUGACAUGGACCCCUCCACUAUCAGUGCAUUCACUGUCAGACAGCAAGCCCCCCUUUCAGACCACAACCAAAUAAAUGUGUUCUUUAAACUCUAUGUAUGUAAGUACAUGCCACAACCCGAGGGACAGUGAAUGACCUACACACACACACACACACACACACACACACACACACACACACACACAAAAUGUUGAAGUGUUUAUGUAGUUUUCACUUUAUUUGUAUUUUUAACUGCAAGUCUACAAUUUUACUAUCAUUAUUAGUAAUAUUAUCUCAUCUUACUUAUCUGUUUAUAUUAAUAGCACUUUUUUUUUGUUUAUGUAUGUUAUUUUAUUUCACAGAUGCUUUGGCAGUGUUAGUAUCAAAUAACCCCGCAUUCUGGGAGCGCAGUGUUCUAGUGGGGUAAUAGUGUACUAUGAGCUCUUUAAAAUAUGAUGACCAUUAAGAGCUUUGUAGGUAAGGAGAAGGAUUUUAAAUUCUAUUCUGGAUCCAGUGCAGAGAAGCUAAUAUUAGAUAAUAGAGAAAUAUUUCUUUUCCUAAUUCUUGUCAGCACACGUGCCGCAGCAUUCUGGAUCAAAUAGAGUCUUAAGGGACUUAUUCGGGCAGCCUGAUAAUAAGGAAUUGCAAUAAUCCAGCCUAGAAUAACAAAUUCAUGGACUCAUUUUUCGGCAUAAUUUUUAGACAGGAUAUGCCUGAUUUUUGCAAUGUUACAUAGGUGGGAAAAGGCAGUCUUUUCGGAGGUGUUUGGGGCAAUAAGUACAAUAACUUUUUAAGUUUUGUCAGUUUAACAUCAGAAAAUUCCAGGUUUUUAUGUUCUUAAAGCAUGCUUGAAGUUUAGCUGACUAAUUAUUUUCAUCUGGCUUGAUCGAUAGAUAUAAUUGGGUAUCAUCCCCAUAACAAUGAUAGUUUAUGGAGUGUUUCCUAAUUGUAUUGCCUAAAAGAAGCAUACAUAAGGUGAAUGGAAUUGGUCCAAACACAGAACCUUGCAGAACUCCGUGACUAACUUUGGUGUGCUUGGAGGAUUCAUCGUUAACAUGUACAAACUGAGAUUGAUCUGAUAAAUAGGAUUUAAACCAGCUUAGUGCGGUUCCUUUAAUGCCAAUUACAUGUUCCAGUCUCUGUAAUAGGAUGUGAUGGUCAAUGGUGUCAAAUGCAGGACUAAGAUCUAACAAGGCAAGUACAGAGAGAAGUCCAUUGUCUGAUGCAAUUAAAAGGUAAUUUGUAACUUUCACCAGUGCUGUCUGUGUGCUAUGAUGCACUCUAAAUCCAGAAUGAAAAUCCUCAAAUGAACUAUUGCUAUGUAGAAAGUCACGCAACUGAUUGGCGACUGCUCAAGGAUCUUAGAGAGAAAGGGAUGGUAACUGUAGGUCUAUAGUUGGCUAAAACCCUGGAUCAAGAGUGAGCUUUAAGAAGAGUUUUAAUUACAGGCAUUUUAAAACACUGUGGUACAUAGCCUGUUAAUAAAGACAGAUUGAUCAUAUCUAGUAAAGAAGUACUAACUAAGGGUAAAACUUCUUUAAGCAGCCUAGUUGGGUUAGUCUAAUGCUGCAAAAUGGAUGAUUCUUAAGAGAAAAUUAUAAUCUAAAUUAAUUAUAAUAUAACAACACCACAGAUUUUAAGUGUUAUUUUUUUAGUAAAGUGGCACCAGCAAUGUUGUCAUUGGAUAUAGGAGGUAAUGGGAGUCAUCAGUUUGUCUGAAAUACAAGGGAUAAGUCAGCUAGAGGAAAGAUUAACCUCACAAAGCCCACUGUUUAAACUACUGCAAAACAAAUUUGCAAACAAUAUAAAGUGUUUGCACUAAGGACCACAUAUUCGCCAAGUUGCUUAUUAGCAUGCAUAUUAGUAGCAUAUUGGCUCUUUAUUAGGCACACUUAAUUGAUAACAGCAUUGAUUAAAAACAUUGCCUGUAGGCAAGUUCCUUCAAACUCUGCUACAUUUUUGUUUUUAUCUGUUAUCUGGCUUUAUUGCUGAGACACGUAUUACCUAUUCAUCAGAAAAGGAAACCGGGGUUCGGACCUUGAGAUUAUCCACCUAGCCAGAUCAACUGGACCAGACACCAUGGCGGGUGAUGUGAUCGCCCCAGGUGGAGAGGAAAGACAGCCAGGAUAGGAGCCAUGCUGGCCCAGUUUGGACUAAUGGUUGCUCCUGGCUAAUGUCCGGCCUGGACAAAAUGUGACUCAGGCUGUUCAAGCAACAGGAAAUCUGAGAGUGUUGUGCCCACAUCUUUGCAGAGACCUGCUCCACCAACAUCCCAGAUCAAGCACUCAAUGGGCAGCCUAUUUUCCAAGCUGAAGGAGCACAGGACUCCAGCAGGAUGAGGGGAGGUGGACUCUGUGUUUACAUCGAUGGUGCUUGGUGCUCAAGCACAGUCAAAGUAGAUGGACACUGUUUCCAAAUGCCGAACAUUUUAUGUGGAGUUUUGUUUGGACACUAUUGUAGUUUUGUGUUUUGUUAAGUGAUAUUAAGGAAGAAUGAGUAUAUCAGGACUAUUUUUGUAAUAUUUCUAUCACAGAGAAAUGUUUAAAUAUUGAUAACAUUAAAGUUAAAUUAUCCAUUGAAAGAAACAAAAGAAAAUCUUUGCGGUAAACAAACCCUCAUUAGGUGAAAGAAUGGGUACAGAUAGUUCCGUUGCAGUAUAUGGCGGUCCCCUCUUUGAUAGGUAGACAUUUUUCAAGGAUGCAAGUCCCCUCUUGGCAAUUU